rnacentral:lncRNA from 1 species
GGUCUCGACGCGCCUGUUCCUGUCGCUGUUGACGCCGGCUCCGAGGGGGAAGUCACGUGCGCUGACGCGCGGAAGCUCCGAGACCCGAACCCGAGUCCGAGCAUAAGGUUCACGAGCUCCCGAUCUGGUAAAGACAGUUCCGGCUGGAAGCGGAAGCGAUCGGAGGAGUCGAUGAUGACGACGGCGGACCUUAACCUUCGGCUGACGCCGAGUUCCGUGCAUAGCGGUUGCCGGCAGGAAAUUCGGCGGCCGGGAACGCCGUCGAUGAAUUCGGAGGAAUCGGUGACGACGAUGGCGUGCUUGGAUAGCGGACUCGGAGAUAACUACGCUCACGGCGGAGACCGGAAAGUCCUCAACCUUUUCAUCUGAGGGCUCUCUCUGUCUUUCUCGCUUUCGCUCUCUCUGAGAUUCGCGUUUUUCUGAAUCCAGUUAAAGGGUCAC